rnacentral:rRNA from 1 species
CCCUUAGAUGUUCUGGGCCGCACGCGUGCUACACUGAGUGGAUCAGCGGGUCAGGUUGCGCGAAAGCGUUUCCUAAUCUUUAAAUCCGCUCGUGAUGGGGAUUGACGGUUGCAAUUUUCUGUCAUGAACGAGGAAUACCUUGUAAGCGCGGGUCAUCAUCCCGCGCUGAAUACGUCCCUGCCCUUUGUACACACCGCCCGUCGCUCCUACCGAUUGAGUGGCCCGGCGAGGCUUUGGGAUCUGAGCGGAAAGAGCGUUUCGCUGUUUCUGCUCGGAAAACUCAGUCGAACCUUAUCAUUUAGAGGAAGGAGAAGUCGUAACA